GAAAUGCGAUAAGUAAUGUGAAUUGCAGAAUUCAGUGAAUCAUCGAAUCUUUGAACGCACAUUGCGCCCCCUGGUAUUCCGGGGGGCAUGCCUGUUCGAGCGUCAUUUCACCACUCAAGCCUCGCUUGGUAUUGGGCGACGCGGUCCGCCGCGCGCCUCAAAUCGACCGGCUGGGUCUUCCGUCCCCUCAGCGUUGUGGAAACUAUUCGCUAAAGGGUGCCGCGGGAGGUCACGCCGCAAAACAACCCCAUUUCUAAGGUUGACCUCGGAUCAGGUAGGGAUAUCCGCUGAACUUAAGC
rnacentral:misc_RNA from 1 species